rnacentral:lncRNA from 1 species
UUUUUGGGAUUUUUUUGGGAUUUUUUUUGAUUUUUGGGGAUUUUUUGGGAUUUUUUUGGGGAUUUUUUUGGGAUUUUUUUGGGAUUUUUUUGGGAUUUUUUUGGAUUUUUGGGGGAUUUUUUUGGGAUUUUUGGGGGGUUUUUUGGGGAUUUUUGGGGAUUUUGGGGGGAUUUUUUUGGAUUUUUUUGGGAUUUUUGGGGAUUUUUUGGGGAUUUUUUUGGGAUUUUUUUUGAGGUUUUUUGGGGUUUUUUGGGAUUUUUUUGGGGAAUUUUGGGGGAUUUUGGGGGGAUUUUUUGGGGGGGAUUUUUUGAAGUUUUUUGGGGUUUUUUGGGGGAUUUUUUUUGGGAUUUUUUUGGGAUUUUUCUUUUGGAUUUUUUUUGGAUUUUUUGUGAUUUUUUGGGGAUUUUUUGGGGAUUUUUUUGGGAUUUUUUUUUUUUUUGAUUUUUUGGGGAUUUUUUGGGAUUUUUGGGGAUUUUUUGGGGAUUUUUUGGGAUUUUUUGGGAUUUUUUUUGAGGUUUUUUUGGGGUUUUUUGGGGGAUUUUUGGGGAUUUGGGGUUCAGGGAUUUUUUUGGGGUGUCCCCCGGGAUUUUGGGGUGUCUCACCUGUCGAUCCCCCGCACUGGAUGGGAUUUGGGGCAGAUUUGGGGGAUUUUUAGGUGGAUUUGGGUGCCCAAUAAUGAGAUUUUUAUGGGAUUUUUUGGGUUUUUUUGGGAUUUUUGGGGUUUUUUUGGGGAUUUUGGGUUCAGGAUUUUUUUGGGGUGUCCCCCGGGAUUUUGGGGUGUCCCACCUGUGGAUCCCUGAGCACUGGAUGGGAUUUUGGAUGGAUUUGGGUGCCCAAUAAUGGGAUUUUUAUGGGAUUUUGGGGAUUUUUGGGGCAUUUUUGGGGUUUUUUUGGGAUUUUGGGGGGAUUUGGGGUUCAGGGACAUUUUUGGGGUGUCCCCCGGGAUUUUGGGGUGUCCCACCUGUGGAUCCCCAAGCACUGGAUGGGAUUUGGGGCGGAUUUGGGGGAUUUUGGAUGGAUUUGGGUGCCCAAUAAUGGGAUUUUUAUGGGAUUUUUAUGGGAUUUUUGGGGUUUGUUUGGGAUUUUGGGGGGAUUUGGGGUUCAGGGACAUUUUUGGGGUGUCCCCCGGGAUUUUGGGGUGUCCCACCUGUGGAUCCCCGAGCACUGGAUGGGAUUUGGGGCGGAUUUGGGUGCCCAAUAAUGGAAUUUUUAUGGGAUUUUUAUGGGAUUUCUGGGGGUUUUUUUGGAUUUUGGGGGGAUUUGGGGUUCGGGAUUUUUUUGGGGUGUCCCCCGGGAUUUUGGGGUGUCUCACCUGUCGAUCCCCCGCACUGGAUGGGAUUUGGGGCAGAUUUGGGGGAUUUUUAGGUGGAUUUGGGUGCCCAAUAAUGAGAUUUUUAUGGGAUUUUUUUGGGUUUUUUUGGGAUUUUUGGGGUUUUUUUGGGGAUUUUGGGUUCGGGAUUUUUUUGGGGGGUUCAGGGAUUUUUUUGGGGUGUCCCCCGGGAUUUUGGGGUGUCCCACCUGUGGAUCCCCGGGCACUGGAUGGGAUUUGGGGCGGAUUUGGGUGCCCAAUAAUGGGAUUUUUAUGGGAUUUUUGGGGUUUUUUGGGGAUUUUUGGGGAUUUUGGGCUCAGGAUUUUUUUGGGGUGUUCAGGGAUUUUUUUGGGGAUUUUUUUGGGGGGUUCAGGGAUUUUUUUGGGGUGUCCCCCGGGAUUUUGGGGUGUCCCACCUGUGGAUCCCCCGCGCUGGAUGGGAUUUGGGGUGGAUUUGCGUGCCCAAUAAUGGGAUUUUUAUGGGAUUUUUGGGGUUUUUUGGGGAUUUUUGGGGAUUUUGGGUUCAGGAUUUUUUUGGGGUGUUCAGGGAUUUUUUUGGAGUGUCCCCCGGGAUUUUGGGGUGUCCCACCUGUGGAUCCCCGAGCACUGGAUGCACAGGGUGAUGCCCAGGUUGACGCUGGCCCAUUGUGGGGAGGGGUCCCGGCAGUCGCAGCAGCUCC